UAGGGAAUCUUCGGCAAUGGACGAAAGUCUGACCGAGCAACGCCGCGUGAGUGAAGAAGGUUUUCGGAUCGUAAAACUCUGUUGUUAGAGAAGAACAAGGAUGAGAGUAGAAUGUUCAUCCCUUGACGGUAUCUAACCAGAAAGCCACGGCUAACUACGUGCCAGCAGCCGCGGUAAUACGUAGGUGGCAAGCGUUGUCCGGAUUUAUUGGGCGUAAAGCGAGCGCAGGCGGUUUCUUAAGUCUGAUGUGAAAGCCCCCGGCUCAACCGGGGAGGGUCAUUGGAAACUGGGAAACUUGAGUGCAGAAGAGGGGAGUGGAAUUCCAUGUGUAGCGGUGAAAUGCGUAGAUAUAUGGAGGAACACCAGUGGCGAAGGCGGCUCUCUGGUCUGUAACUGACGCUGAGGCUCGAAAGCGUGGGGAGCAAACAGG
rnacentral:rRNA from 1 species